UACGAAGGGGGCUAGCGUUGCUCGGAAUUACUGGGCGUAAAGGGCGCGUAGGCGGAUGUUUAAGUCGGGGGUGAAAGCCCGGGGCUCAACCUCGGAAUUGCCUUCGAUACUGGACAUCUUGAGUACGGGAGAGGUGAGUGGAGCUCCGAGUGUAGAGGUGAAAUUCGUAGAUAUUCGGAAGAACACCAGUGGCGAAGGCGACUCACUGGCCCGUUACUGACGCUGAGGCGCGAAAGCGUGGGGAGCAAACAGG
rnacentral:rRNA from 1 species